rnacentral:rRNA from 1 species
CGCUAUCACUCCUACGGGGAGCAGCAGUAGGGAAUCUUCACAAUGGGCGCAAGCCUGAUGGAGCAACACCGCGUGAGUGAAGAAGGGUUUCGGCUCGUAAAGCUCUGUUGUUAAAGAAGAACACGUAUGAGAGUAACUGUUCAUACGUUGACGGUAUUUAACCAGAAAGUCACGGCUAACUACGUGCCAGCAGCCGCGGUAAUACGUAGGUGGCAAGCGUUAUCCGGAUUUAUUGGGCGUAAGGAGAGUGCAGGCGGUUUUCUAAGUCUGAUGUGAAAGCCUUCGGCUUAACCGGAGAAGUGCAUCGGAAACUGGAUAACUUGAGUGCAGAAGAGGGUAGUGGAACUCCAUGUGUAGCGGUGGAAUGCGUAGAUAUAUGGAAGAACACCAGUGGCGAAGGCGGCUACCUGGUCUGCAACUGACGCUGAGACUCGAAAGCAUGGGUAGCGAACAGGAUUAGAUACCCUGGUAG